UCCGGCUUAACGCCGGCAGUCCCCCCAGAGUCCCCGGCCGAACCGCUGGCAACUGGGAGCGAGGGUUGCGCUCGUUGCGGGACUUAACCCAACAUCUCACGACACGAGCUGACGACAGCCAUGCAGCACCUGUCUCCGGUCCAGCCGAACUGAAGAGCUCCAUCUCUGGUGCUCGCGACCGGGAUGUCAAAGGCUGGUAAGGUUCUGCGCGUUGCUUCGAAUUGAACCACAUGCUCCACCGCUUGCGCGGGCCCCCGUCAAUUCCUUUGAGUUUUAAUCUUGCGACCGUACUCCCCAGGCGGAAUGCUUAAUGCGUUAGCUGCGCCACCGACGGGCAAGCCCGCCAACGGCUGGCAUUCAUCGUUUACGUGCACUU
rnacentral:misc_RNA from 1 species